AACAAUUUGGCAAUUUUAUUGGACUCUGUUAUGUUUUUGAAUGGUGAAUUUGAAGACUUCAACUUGUAACAAGAAAUUUUCUAGAAGGAAAGUGGGAUUUUCAAGAGAUAUGAAAUUAAGCAGAGAAUAUGUAUGGACAUGUGAGCAGAUGGAACCAAAUUUUGAAAGCUUUGCAUGUGUCCAGCAUCGGUCACAGAAAAUCCUUUUAUCUCAAGAAACUAGCCUCUGGAUUUUCUCAUGUUCAAUAUGAUAAAACUCAGUAAAUCCAGCAGCUUGAAUACCUUUUAACACAAAUUUGUACCAAAAUGGGAAGUAACUUUAAAAUUCCGCUCCAUUAUCUAGAGGUACUCUGACUUGGUUAAGAUGGGGUCUCCUCAUGUUGCUCCUGCUGGUCUUGAACACC
rnacentral:lncRNA from 1 species